rnacentral:rRNA from 1 species
AACGUAGGAGACAAACGUUAUCCGGAGUUACUGGGCGUAAAGGGCGUGUAGGUGGUUUCGUAAGUCUGGCGUGAAAUUUUUCGGCUUAACCGGGAAAGGUCGUCGGAUACUGCGGGACUAGAGGACGGUAGAGGCGUGUGGAAUUCCGGGUGUAGUGGUGAAAUGCGUAGAGAUCCGGAGGAACACCAGUGGCGAAGGCGACACGCUGGGCCAUACCUGACACUGAUGCGCGACAGCAUGGGGAGCAAACAGG